rnacentral:misc_RNA from 1 species
UCCGGUUUGUCACCGGCAGUCCCGUUAAAGUGCCCAACUAAAUGAUGGCAAUUAACGGCAAGGGUUGCGCUCGUUGCGGGACUUAACCCAACAUCUCACGACACGAGCUGACGACAGCCAUGCAGCACCUGUGUUACGGCUUCCUUUCGGACACCGCAGUGUCUCCACCGCGUUCCGUACAUGUCAAGGGUAGGUAAGGUUUUUCGCGUUGCAUCGAAUUAAUCCACAUAAUCCACCGCUUGUGCGGGUCCCCGUCAAUUCCUUUGAGUUUUAAUCUUGCGACCGUACUCCCCAGGCGGUCUACUUCACGCGUUAGCUGCGUUACCAAGUCAAUUAAGACCCGACAACUAGUAGACAUCGUUUAGGGCGUGGACUAC